CUCCUGGAAACGGGUGGUAAUGCCGGAUGCUCCAGAUGACCGCAUGGGAUUCUGGGAAAGCUUUUGCGGCAUGGGAUGGGGUCGCGUCCUAUCAGCUUGUUGGUGGGGUGAUGGCCCACCAAGGCUUCGACGGGUAGCCGGCCUGAGAGGGCGACCGGCCACAUUGGGACUGAGAUACGGCCCAGACUCCUACGGGAGGCAGCAGUGGGGAAUAUUGCGCAAUGGGCGAAAGCCUGACGCAGCGACGCCGCGUGCGGGAUGGAGGCCUUCGGGUUGUAAACCGCUUUUAUCGGGGAGCAAGCGAGAGUGAGUGUACCCGUUGAAUAAGCACCGGCUAACUACGUGCCAGCAGCCGCGGUAAUACGUAGGGUGCAAGCGUUAUCCGGAUUUAUUGGGCGUAAAGGGCUCGUAGGCGGUUCGUCGCGUCUGGUGUGAAAGUCCAUCGCUUAACAGUGGAUCUGCGCCGGGUACGGGCGGGCUGGAGUGCGGCAGGGGACGACUGGAAUUCCCGGUGUAACGGUGGAAUGUGUAGAUAUCGGGAAGAACACC
rnacentral:rRNA from 1 species